rnacentral:rRNA from 1 species
GACGAACGCUGGAGGCGUGCUUAACACAUGCAAGUCGAACGAUGAAAUGGAGCUUGCUCCAUGGAUUAGUGGCGAACGGGUGAGUAACACGUGAAUAACCUGCCCUUAAUUUUGGAAUAACCCAGGGAAACCUGGGCUAAUACCGGAUAAGUAAACCUGUGGCAUCACAUGGUUUUGGAAAGUUUUUCGAUUAAGGAUGGAUUCGCGGCCUAUCAGCUUGUUGGUGAGGUAAUGGCUCACCAAGGCGACGACGGGUAGCCGGCCUGAGGGGGUGAACGGCCACACUGGGACUGAGACACGGCCCAGACUCCUACGGGAGGCAGCAGUGGGUAAUAUUGCGCAAUGGACGAAAGUCUGACGCAGCGACGCCUCGUGAGGGACGAAGGUCUUCGGAUUGUAAACCUCUUUCAGCAGGGACGAAGCGAAAGUGACGGUACCUGCAGAAGAAGCACCGGCUAACUAUGUGCCAGCCGCCGCAGUAA